rnacentral:rRNA from 1 species
UACGUAGGCAGCAAGCGUUGUUCGGAGUUACUGGGCGUAAAGGGUGUGUAGGCGGUUGGAUAAGUGUGGUGUGAAAUCUCCCCGGCUCAACUGGGAGGGUGCGCUACAAACUGUCUGACUCGAGUGUGGGAUGGGUAAGUGGAAUUCCUGGUGUAGCGGUGAAAUGCGUAGAUAUCUGGAGGAACACCGGGUGGCGAAGGCGGCAUCCUGGACCGGUAUUGACGCUGAGGCGCGAAAAGCCAGGGGGAGCAAACGGG